ACAUGCUAACACGGAGACCUAAACACAAAGAAGCAGGCACUAUACAAUGAGAGAUAAGAAGAAAGAAAAUCUAAUAGGAUGCAGAGAUGGUAUGGAGAGCCCCGAACAUAUUCCCGGCAAUGCUGUGCGCUGAUCUGAAGGGUUUUAAUGGAAUCACUGUUCAUUUCUCCUCUCUUCCUUUCCCAUCAUGAAAAGCAAGAAAACAAAACAGCAAAAGCCCAACUAGGCCAUACUAUUUUUUUCUACUAUUUUUGUAGUUCCUGGUUUUAUAUUGUAUAUGGAUAGUAUCUGCAGGACUUCUAAAUCUGGCCAGAGUCACCCAUGAAAAUGGACACUCUGCCACUCCCCACUGUGUCGAUGUACUCUUUGAUGGUGUACAACCUGUAAGGAUUUCACUCACUUGAGUUCCUUUGUGUGGAAAAUUUUUACCCAUGUGACUUCUCAACUAAUCCAUUUUAACAAUGUAGUCUGCCUAAGACAUAAAUAUGCUUGGGAAACCAAAGUCAUUUAAACUUAAUUUUUAAUCACAUUAGAAAAAUGGUCAUUCUAGCUGGAGAAAGUUCACUGAGGCAAGAUGAAGUUUGAGAUGAGAAGACAGAAGGUCAGAAGGGCGAUCUGUUUGAACUUGAACCUGCCUGACCUGUGUGCACAAUGUUAAUGUGUACAACAUGAACUCCUGACUUUGUCAGCAGGAAUAUGAUGUUGGUUUUCUCAUUUGGAGUCUCAAUUAGUUUACUGUGUCAACCCCAAGAGGAAAAGACCUUAUAUUCAAUGUCUGUUAGCAGAUGGUACUCAAAUUAUAUUCAAAUGAAGUUUUCUAUAAUCAUACUAAGACAUGGGGUGGGGAAAUGGGUCAUGCAAAAAUAUUUACUAAUACUACCUGUUUCAUGUUCUUCCAGUUGUCGUCAAAUCUCUGUAAGAUUAUAUUGCUUCAAAUUUCACUAAUCAGGAGAGUUAUAUUAAUCUUUGUGGCUUGAAUAUAAUGAAAAAACCAAACAGAGUCAAGAUAUGCCUGCAUAAUCUGAUGGAAGAAUACAUGUGAUUCUGGACAUGCCAUUUCCCACAGUCUAAUAUAACCACAACUAGCUGUCACAAAAAAUGAUUAUUAAAGGGUAACACUAAACAUAUAAUGUGAGUAUAGAAAAUCCACACUUGACACUCUAAAAUAAAUGCAGAAUUACACCAAUCUACAUGAACUAGUUAGAUUUUUGUCUUCAUAUAAUUUCUUCCAUUAUGUUAUGGUAUUUCAAUCAGAUUUUCUAAGUGUGGGCCUAGUAGAUAGGAAUUAAAGUUAUAAAUUCUGUUAUAAAGUUCAGAUUUUCACUGUGUGCUCUGAUUCCUCCUCCGCCAUUCCAUGAGUAUUGCAAGGCAGGUUCAACAGCGUGUAGUCCUCAGAGCUACCAGAGUUCUUUUGUCUGACUGCAUGUCAGGAACAUCUCAGCAAGUGGGUGAUAAAGGAUAGGACAGCAGCAACAGCAACAUUGUAAGCUAGCAAGAAGCAAGUUGCUAACAAUAUAUGUAUUUAUUCUUUAGGAACAGAACUUACUGUUUGAGUAAUUUCAGUUAGUUUUAACUCCAAAAUCUCCUAUAUGUAAACAUGAGUUCGGUUCAGGUUAAUUUAGUCUAUUAAUUAGUUGAUGUAGUUCCCUUAGUUCAGAAUUACUAAAAUGUAAAUUUUGAAAUUUAAGAUCACAUUUAUUUUUGUGUUGUUUAUUCAACUAAUUGAGUGGAGAAAACUUCACUCCAAUUGAUUUCUUGCUUUCCUGUAAGAAAUGUUAUCAAUCUGUAUUAUAUGCUAUGUGAUACAGACAUGGCCACCAUUGGGAGGCCAGGAUUCAUUCUCUGUUUGCUUUAAGCCCAAUCCACCAUGAGCUAAUCUUUGUCUUGUUCUACUGUAAUCUUUCCUUGAUUCUUUCUGUGCCUAGCAAUUUGCCACAGCUACCACAUCUUAAAAGAGAAACUGUCAAGUUCAAGAAGAAAGUGAAGGUUGUCUAACAUACCAUGGAAAAUUUCCAAAAGAAUCAGAAAAAAAAGGGGGGGACAUUGGCAAGUUUGGAGGGAGAAUGUAUUCAAUGAUCAUUCUUUACUGUUGCUAGUUUUGCUUUGUUUUUAAUGACUCACACGCAGAGGCAAUUUCUACCCUAUGGAUACUUAGUGAUAAGUAGGGCCAUUUUGAUGGUCACAACAUGGAAUAGGCAUUUGUGUCUAAUAAGAAGGAGUUUUGAAUGCACAAGCUAUGCUCCCCCCUCCCAAUGAUUUGGCUCAAAAUGGCAGUGAUACCAGGACUGAGAAAGACUAGUUUAUAUUAAGGGAUCUCUGAAGAUUCCUUUAAUAACCCUCCAUCAUUUAAACAAACAAACAGAAAAGAUUAAUGCAGCUUGCUUUCCUGUGAGCAAAGCUCACUAACUCAGAGGCUAUCAUCAAUUCUCCUGCAUUAAUUUAGAUUUGAAAUUUACAGAUAAGAGCACAGACCACACCUAUGGAAACCAGCAGCUUCCACACACCUAGAGCACUGCAGCAUAACCAAUGCCUGGCUAUGGAAUCACAGCCCCUACUUGAGAGGCUAUGGCUUUGUCCGUGAACAUCACUGCUUCUAGUCUGAUCAGUUUCUACUGGAAGCAUCAUUUCUUUUCUUUUCAAAUUAAUGAAGAGCCCUUUAAAGAAACAGUAUGACUCAUCUUCUCUGCUUUCACUAGAACUGUCAGAAGCUGUCAAGCCUUUAUGGUUUUUUUUUCUCCUCAUAGCAAUAAUGUAAAUAUCCCAGAGUGGGAUUACAAAAAGAAGAUUAAGAAUAUAAAAAAGAGGAGCCAGCUCACUUCUAGAGUAAAUAAAUGAUUGCCUCAUGACCAAGUCAUGAUUAUGUUAAUGGCAUAUCCCAAGUAUUGGGACAAGGUCGCCAAUAUAGUAAGCUACAAAGGAUAAGAUAAACCAUGUGGCUUGAUAUAUGGUAUCCUGAAUCGUACUUCCUUCUGCUUUUUGCUUACUUGAUGCUGUUUGAUCCAGAAGAAAUGAUGGCAUGAGAGGGAAUUAGAUUUCAAAAUAAUACCAAUAGUUAUUUACCAAUGCAGCCAACUUUUAUUUUCUUGUAUUUAGUUCAUCCACUGUUGCUCCCCUUUCCAAUUUGAUAUCUUCACCAACAACCAUAACACUGGUGAUACAAAUAGAGUAGGAAGGCACCCCCAGCUGGAUGAGACAUGUAUCCUCAGCAUGUAUAUACAACGCCAUGCCUUUCCAUUAGGCUUCUCUUAAAAGGGUGCACGCUGUAGCAUGAACUCUGUGUAUAUUUAAUAUACCUUCCAAUGAUAUGCUGUAUGCUUCAUAUAUAUAUUAUAUAAAUAAAAUAAAAUGUAUAAUAGAAAUAAAUAUUUCUGUAUGCAAAUAAAUAUAUUAUACACAAAAUUGU
rnacentral:lncRNA from 1 species